rnacentral:rRNA from 1 species
CUUGACACUGAACAUUGAGCCUUGAUGUGUAGGAUAGGUGGGAGGCUUUGAAGCGUGGACGCCAGUCUGCGUGGAGCCAACCUUGAAAUACCACCCUUCAAUGUUUGAUGUUCUAACGUAGGCCCCUUAUCGGGGUUGCGGACAGUGUCUGGUGGGUAGUUUGACUGGGGCGGUCUCCUCCCAAAGCGUAACGGAGGAGCACGAAGGUUAGCUAAUCCUGGUCGGACAUCAGGAGGUUAGUGCAAUGGCAUAAGCUAGCUUGACUGCGAGCGUGACGGCGCGAGCAGGUGCGAAAGCAGGUCAUAGUGAUCCGGUGGUUCUGAAUGGAAGGGCCAUCGCUCAACGGAUAAAAGGUACUCCGGGGAUAACAGGCUGAUACCGCCCAAGAGUUCAUAUCGACGGCGGUGUUUGGCACCUCGAUGUCGGCUCAUCACAUCCUGGGGCUGAAGUAGGUCCCAAGGGUAUGGCUGUUCGCCAUUUAAAGUGGUACGCGAGCUGGGUUUAGAACGUCGUGAGACAGUUCGGUCCCUAUCUGCCGUGGGCGCUGGAGAAUUGAGGGGGGCUGCUCCUAGUACGAGAGGACCGGAGUGGACGCAUCACUGGUGUUCGGGUUGUCAUGCCAAUGGCACUGCCCGGUAGCUAAAUGCGGAAGAGAUAAGUGCUGAAAGCAUCUAAGCACGAAACUUGCCCCGAGAUGAGUUCUCCCUGAGACUUUAAGUCUCCUGAAGGAACGUUAAAGACGAUGACGUUGAUAGGCCGGGUGUGUAAGCGCAGCGAUGCGUUGAGCUAACCGGUACUAAUGAACCGUGAGGCUUAACCUU